ensembl:lncRNA
CAUUUACCUAAUGCCUGUACCCUUAUUGUACCUAGGAAGCAAUUAACUUGCUUUUGAUUUUACAGGCUCAUAGGUGGAAGGGACUUGCCUUGUCACAGAUGAGACUUUAGACUGUGGACUUUUGAGUUAAUGUUGAAAUGAGUUAAGACUUUAGGGGACUGUUGUGAAGGCAUGAUUGUGUUUUGAAAUGUGAGGACAUGAGAUUUGGGAGGAGUCAGGGGCAGAAUGAUGUGGUUUGGUUGUGUCUCCACCCAAAUCUCAUUUUGAAUUUCCACAUGUUGUGGGCGGGACCCAGUGGGAGGUAAUUGAAUCAUGGGGGCAGGUCUUUCCCAUGCUGUUCUUGUGACAGCGAUCUCUCAUGAGAUCUAACAGGGAGUUUCCCUGCACAAGCUCUCUCUUUGCCUGCUGCCAUCUGUGUAAGAUGAGACUUGCUCCUCCUUGCCACCUACCAUGAUUGUGAGGCUUCUUCAGCCAUGUGGAACAUUCCUCAAGAAAGUCCAUGCUCCAACAAGAGGCAUCUUGGAACUGAGACAGCCAGGUGGGAAGGGCUCCUGGCAAAACUUCAAUCGGUCUGCGCACUGGGAGGAAUGAACAGUGGGAUGGAGCCAUGGAAGUCUGCACCACCGUUUUCAGCAGGGAAGGGCCUGGCCCCUCCUCUUUCUGUGCGAAACUUGAGAUUCACACUUCAAGGUGGGAAGCGCACCUUUUUCCCUUUUUACCCAGUAAAACUCUGCUUUACUCACCCUUCAAAUUGUCUGCAAGCUUAAAUUUUCGUAGCCCUGUGCCAAGGACCCCGUCUUUAGCUGAGCUAAGGAAGAGUCCUGCAACAGAACUUUGCCUGAUCCCUGGCAUCAUCUCCGCUCCCUGCUUACCUGUGCCUUAGCUGGAGAAUCUUGACCUCAGAGGCUUACCUGUCCUCAAAGAGCAGGGAGUAAGACCCUCAGACAAAAAGUCUAACUCAUAACCUCAUUAAGCCUCGGGCAUAGGACUUGUUCCAGGCAUUCUAUGAACACAUGAAGGUCUAGAUUCUACUGCAGACAAAGACAGAAAUUCUCCCUUCUCAUCCCAAGGCAGCAGCUCUACAAAUCUCCCUGACUACCCCAGGAGCUCCCAUCAUAUUUUUUGUUAGUUAACGUUACCAGUUGUCUAUGUACAAUUAGACUGCAUAACAAGCAACCACAAAACCUCUGUGGUAUAAACAAUAACUUUUUUUUUUUUGCUCAUGAUUCUAUGACUUGGCUGGACAGUUCUUCUGAUCUUGGCUGGGCUUAUAUAAGUAGUUCUUCUUCUCUUGCUUGGGGGUGAGUCAUAAGUCUGACCAUACACUGGCUUUUAGUUCGUGUGGAAGGGUCCUGGCUAAGAUGACUGGCUUUGCUCCACAUGGUCCCUCAUCCUCCAGCCAGUUAGGCCAGGUUUGUUCUCAUGACAGAAAGAAUAGAGAGCAGAGGUGUUAUAAGACCUCAUAAGGCCUGGUUCAGAGGCAAGGCCACAUUCUCUUGGCCAAAGUAAAUCAAAAGGCAAACCAAGAUUGAAGGAAGAGGGAAACAGACUAUACUUUUGAUGGGAGAAGUAGCAAGAUCAUUUUG